CAGCAGCCGCGGUAAUACGUAGGUGGCAAGCGUUGUCUGGAAUUAUUGGGCGUAAAGGGCUCGCAGGCGGUUUCUUAAGUCUGAUGUGAAAGCCCCCGGCUCAACCGGGGAGGGUCAUUGGAAACUGGGAAACUUGAGUGCAGAAGAGGAGAGUGGAAUUCCACGUGUAGCGGUGAAAUGCGUAGAGAUGUGGAGGAACACCAGUGGCGAAGGCGACUCUCUGGUCUGUAACUGACGCUGAGGAGCGAAAGCGUGGGGAGCGAACAGGAUUAGAGACCCCCGUAGUCCCUGUCUCUUAUAC
rnacentral:rRNA from 1 species